rnacentral:rRNA from 1 species
UACGUAGGGGGCAAGCGUUGUCCGGAAUUAUUGGGCGUAAAGAGCGCGUAGGCGGUCCGAUAAGUCGGCUGUGAAAGUCAGGGGCUCAACCCUUGGAAGCCGGCCGAUACUGUCGGACUAGAGUCCGGAAGAGGCGAGUGGAAUUCCCAGUGUAGAGGUGAAAUUCGUAGAUAUUGGGAAGAACACCGGUGGCGAAGGCGGCAACCUGGUCCUUGACUGACGCUGAGGCGCGAAAGCGUGGGGAGCAAACAGG